rnacentral:tRNA from 2 species
CGGAGUAUGGCGCAGUUUGGUAGCGUGCCAUCUUGGGGUGGUGGAGGUCGCGGGUUCAAAUCCUGCUACUCCGA